rnacentral:misc_RNA from 1 species
GCAUCUUUUUCCCUUUCCUUUCCCUUUACGCGCACAAUGAUACCGUCUCUCUCCUCUCCCUCUGUAAAGACAAAACCGUGGGAUCUACCUCGUCCCACCACUCCCUCUUCUUCUUCUUCUCUCUCUCUCAUGCACCUUUCCGUUUCUUGUAUCUAUUAACCUCUGCUUUCCUCUUCUUGGGCUCUUAUAUCUCACUUGAGAUCUACCCUUUUCUUCUUUGUGAAUCUCAGAUCUCUAAUUUUUCUUCUUUUGCUAAAUAAUUCUGUGAUUUCCUCAAUAUGACCUCCUUCCGCCCAGAUCCGACCUCCAGAAUCUACCCGGAGCCGGAGUCUCUCUCAAUCGACCACUUCGACCGUCUUCCCGACUCCCUCCUCUUGCUAGUGUUUAACAAAAUCGGAGAUGUCAAGGCUCUCGGUAGAUGCUGCGUCGUUUCACGCCGUUUCCACUCUCUCGUCCCCCAAGUAGACAACGUUGUUGUAAGAGUCGAUUGCGUUAUUUCCGAUGACGAUACUUCCCCUUCUUCUUCCUCUGAGAAAUCUCGGUCUUCCAG